rnacentral:rRNA from 1 species
UACGGGGGGGGGGUAAGCGUUGUUCGGAAUUACUGGGCGUAAAGGGCUCGUAGGCGGCCAACUAAGUCAGACGUGAAAUCCCUCAGCUUAACUGGGGAACUGCGUCUGAUACUGGAUGGCUUGAGUUUGGGAGAGGGAUGCGGAAUUCCAGGUGUAGCGGUGAAAUGCGUAGAUAUCUGGAGGAACACCGGUGGCGAAGGCGGCAUCCUGGACCAACACUGACGCUGAGGAGCGAAAGCCAGGGGAGCAAACGGG